UUUGUACUCCCUCCGUCCGGAAAUACUUGUCCAAGGAAUGAAUGUACCUAGAUGUAUUUUAGUUCUAAAUACAUCGAUUUGUAUCCAUUUUUCCGGACAAGUAUUUCCGGACGGAGGGAGUACUAG
rfam:Triticum aestivum genome assembly, contig: Triticum_aestivum_CS42_TGACv1_scaffold_578433_7BL